UACGUAGGGGGCUAGCGUUGUCCGGAAUCAUUGGGCGUAAAGAGCGUGUAGGCGGUCCGGUAAGUCCGCUGUGAAAGUCGGGGGCUCAACCCUCGGAUGCCGGUGGAUACUGUCGGGCUUGAGUACGGAAGAGGCGAGUGGAAUUCCUGGUGUAGCGGUGAAAUGCGCAGAUAUCAGGAGGAACACCGGUGGCGAAGGCGGGUCUCUGGGCCGAUACUGACGCUGAGGAGCGAAAGCGUGGGGAGCAAACAGG
rnacentral:rRNA from 1 species